rnacentral:rRNA from 2 species
GACUGCGUACCUUUUGUAUAAUGGGUCAGCGACUUAUAUUCUGUAGCAAGGUUAACCGUAUAGGGGAGCCGCAGGGAAACCGAGUCUUAACUGGGCGUUAAGUUGCAGGGUAUAGACCCGAAACCCGGUGAUCUAGCCAUGGGCAGGUUGAAGGUUGGGUAACACUAACUGGAGGACCGAACCGACUAAUGUUGAAAAAUUAGCGGAUGACUUGUGGCUGGGGGUGAAAGGCCAAUCAAACCGGGAGAUAGCUGGUUCUCCCCGAAAGCU